UACAGUGGGGGCAAGCGUUGUUCGGAAUUACUGGGCGUAAAGGGUCUGUAGGUGGCUUGCUAAGUCAGACGUGAAAUCCCUCAGCUUAACUGGGGAACUGCGUCUGAUACUGGCGAGCUUGAGUGCAGGAGAGGAACGCGGAAUUCCAGGUGUAGCGGUGAAAUGCGUAGAUAUCUGGAGGAACACCGGUGGCGAAGGCGGCGUUCUGGACUGCAACUGACACUGAGAGACGAAAGCCAGGGGAGCAAACGGG
rnacentral:rRNA from 1 species